rnacentral:lncRNA from 1 species
UGCGCUGUUUGAUUCAUGACUAUCCUACUUUGGUUCAGAUAGUCACAUAUCCAGAAGCUGUCCGAAGAAUUUAAGCUUCUCAAGAAUCAGUCCAUCUAAAUAUAACUGUAAGCAAUAAACGCUUUUGUAUUUCUUUCAACGUAUGAUACCCACCACGUCUUUAAUUUGUUUCUUUUGUAACUCUUUCAUUCUUUUUUGGGCAUUAAAGGUAUUUGGGCACAGUGAGAGAAGAUGAAACUUUCAAAAUCCUUC